rnacentral:lncRNA from 1 species
UGAACACCUUAUUGGAAAAGGACGACGAUGAUAAGGUGACAUUUUUUGCCUUCAACUAUGACAAUACAUUGUUUGCUUUAUGUAUCAUUUCAUAUUAUGUUAAGGUUCCUUGUCUACUGGAGGUUAUGAUGUUUUAUUUUGACUAGAUAUCUUGGUUGUAAUAUUCUUCUCUUUUGAAUGCUAUUGAAUUUUAAAUACAGAUUUUGCAGUUGGGUUCCCUCUAUCCCUUGUAAGCAUAACAUUAUACUUGUGCAUCAUGUUAGAGCAUUUGAUCUGACUGUGUAAAGGUGCAAUAUGCUUCCUAACUGGAUCAGUUACUAUGAAUAAUGCGUUAUCUUUCUUUGCCAAGAUGUUAUAUUGUUGUCUUGUGCACUCUCAGUUGACCCCAUUGAUCCUUUUUACUAUCUUAGAGUUAAUUUGUAUUCUUAAAAUUCAGUUCAAUGCAAAUUGUGUCUCUACAAAUUUUUUGAGCUGGGUGUUUUAAAAUGUUUACAACUAUCAAAUAACAUUUGGCCGGAGGCUAUCAGGCUAACCUGCAAUAGUUAUACUCUUUGUAAUUGUUUUUCCACUCUUCUUUUUGCACUCAAUGUGUGUUUCCUGGGGUAUACUAGAUAUAGUUGGAGCAACCAGCUAUGGGACUGUUAAUGUGACUUUCUUGGCUUUAAUAUAAAGUGACCUUUGAUAUAGCUCUUCAAGGGCUAUAGAGUUAAGAUGUAUUCUGAUUUCUGUUUAUUGUUUGACCUGCUCUAGUGGAAGGGCAUGGGGAACCAAGAGCUCCUUGAUUAUUUUGGUGAAUAUGCAGCGACUAAAGCACGCCAUGCCUAUGGUCCAGCUGGGCACCGUGGGAUGAGUGUGUUAAUAUUUGAAAGCUCAGCUGUUGGCUAUAUGGAGGCGGAACGUCUGCAUAGGCAUUUUAUUACUCAAGGUACAGACAGAAAUACAUGGCAGCUCCGCAGAGUUCCGUUCUUACCUGGUGGUAAAAGGCAGCUAUAUGGUUUCUUGGCAAACAAAGAGGAUAUGGAGACGUUCAACAAACAUUGCCAAGGUACGGUUUCUUAUAAAAUUAAUCCUUUCAAUUCUGUAUAUGCUUAUACAUCUGUUAAACAACUUUCCCCGAAUUUUUUAUGCCUUGAUAAUUCUUGCUGUCAACUGUGAAUAGAACCUGUACACACAUGUGAAAUGUAUUUUUGUUACAGUAAUAAUAAGGACAUGUGAAGUUGGAUAUUUCUAUUGUUCCAUUUCAUUGACAUAUUGUUAAUGCUUAUUAGUUCUGGCAAUCUUUUUGUUCGCCCACUGAUAAUGCGUGUUUGAGCAGUAUGCUGGUACUAUUAUUUCUCUUUGUGCUUGGUCUUUAGUUCUUUCCUUUUCCAUCCUGCUUAAUUUAUGAAGGCUAAGCGGGGUUCUUAUGGCAUCUGUACAGGACCUAGUUUAUCUAAGUUAACUUGAUAUAUUUCAUCAUCACUAUAAUUUCAGGGAAAAGCCGUCUGAAGUAUGAGAUGAGAUCUCACAAUGAGAUGGUGGUAAUCCCAAUGAAACAGAUGAGUGAAGACAACCAACAGCUGAACUAUCUGAAGAACAAGGUGGUUAAGACUGAGCAACGCUCUAAAGCAGUGGAAGAAACCUUGGGUGUUGUUACCGAGAGGCUUCGUGAGACUAUGAAAGAUAUGAAAAUUGUCAAGGAUAAAGUCCAACAGAAGCACUUGGAGCAUGAGCAAGAGGUAAUAAGGUUACCCAAGUGGAUAUAAUAUUUGUGCAUCAAACAAUUUUCUCACCUACAUCCGUGUCAAUGAUUCGAGUAGCAAAUGAUUAGGAAUUUGCUGGGAGAGUCACUUUCUCUUUUGCAAUCCGAAGCUUUUGCCAUAAGAUUGAUACUGCCAUCUCUCUCAUGUUACCCCUUGUUUUGACGUUGUUUCCAUGCUUUGCAGAUGAAGUACCAGGAGGAUUUUUUCCAUAGUCAAAUUGAGAGUAUUCACAAGAUCACAGAGGCUAAAGAAAAGGAGUUUGAGAAGUUGCUGCAGGAGGAGCGCUCGAAGGCUAGGCGCUUUGAUGUGGAUUCUGGAACUACCGAAGAUCGCAGGCUAAGGUGCGUGACUGAUGUGCAGUUGGAUGGUAUUGCGCCAUACCUGCUAUUGGAAAUAUGAAUAUAGUGAAACAUUUGUUUGGGGAUGGAAAGGCGCCGUCUCGAAGCAUCACUUGCCAGGAUUGCUUCUGUUUUCUCCUUCAAUCAUCUCAUGUAGACAUCUUUCAAUGCAUCACUUGUCAAGAUUCCUUCUGUUUUCUCCUCCAAUCAUCUCAUCUAGACAUGUUAAUUUCCAAGCACAUAUCAAUUUCUGUUUCCCAUUCUCAAUCUGCUGUCCUGUGCAGGAAGGAACAUGUGCAGAAGUUCAUCGACGGCCAGGUGAAGGAUGUGGCGGAGUUUGAGGCCGAGCGGGACGAGCUGAUCAAAGCCCACGAGGAGACGAAGAUGAAGCUCAAGAAAGAGUACAUGGAGAAGGAGGUUGAGCUGGAGAAGGAGCUGGACGCUGCCCUGACAAGCCUGAUGGAGAAGCACAAGCCGGACACCUUCCAGGCCUCCAGCUCGUGAAGAGCAAGCUCCCUCAGCUUACCUUUGGGUUCCCCGCUCAGAACCAAUCUCGUAGAUGUUGAUGCUCGGUAUGCAUAAACGAAUGCGUAGACAUUCCCUAGACGU